UACGAAGGGGGCUAGCGUUGUUCGGAAUUACUGGGCGUAAAGCGCGCGCAGGCGGCUAUCCAAGUCAGUGGUGAAAGCCCGGAGCUCAACUCCGGAACUGCCAUUGAAACUGUUUAGCUUGAGGAUGAGAGAGGUGAGUGGAAUUCCCAGUGUAGAGGUGAAAUUCGUAGAUAUUGGGAAGAACACCGGUGGCGAAGGCGGCUCACUGGACCACAACUGACGCUGAGGCGCGAAAGCUAGGGGAGCAAACAGG
rnacentral:rRNA from 1 species